rnacentral:misc_RNA from 1 species
AUGAACAUCCAGAACAUAUGUAGACUGUGUGUGACCAGUCAAGGAGUGCACCAAGCUACCAUCACUAGCAUUCCAAACACAAAUUCGGCAAUCCAUGAUAGCAGCCAGUACAAAGCGAUUAUCCAGGCUCCACACUAUCAUGUUAACACCGCGAGGAGUAGGGCGAAAUCUCUGCCGUGGCCCUCCUCGAGGAGGCUGUGGUGGCAUUGGUGGCGGAGGAACUUUAAGAUGAUAUGCCUUACCCCAAGAACGUCCAUGUUUUCCAUGGGACGACUUGCGUGGUUUUGGGGUCCAAAUAAUUGCACUUCCGUCACGGGAACAAGUGACAAUGUUGUCAUGGCUAAACCAAGAAUUCCUAAAUUUAGGAAUGCAGUCCUCCACAAAAGAAUCAGAAGUUGAAGAUCGUGAAGCAACUGCACAGCCACUGAACUGUACAUAGUUGACAUCAUUUUCAUGACCAGAUAAUGUAUCUAUUUCAUGAUUUAGCUCCUCAGGGUGAUCUGGGGAGAAUUUACAAGCACUCCAGACCCUUGCUAAAGUAUCAGAGCUGCCAGUGACAAAGACAGUUCCAUUGGCAUUAUAUGCACAACACAAAAUUUGAUGGCUAUGUGAUGUAUUACUAGAGGACUGAAGGUUGGUUGCUGCAGUACCACUGCUCCUCACUGAGACG